rnacentral:misc_RNA from 1 species
GAAAGGGGGGUCUUUUGAGCCCUAUAAAAUGAAAUCAGAACAAAGAUUGGGUGAGAAUAUUGAUACAUAUGAUAAUGUUGAUCAAACUAGGUAGCUUGCGAAAAAUACCAACUCAUCAACAACAUUCAAAUAUUGUGAAUAUCAUCUGACAUCAUCUCAUUGCAGUAGGGAAUGGGAGCCUACAAAUGUAAUAGAUUCUAGAAUAUAUGUAACCAAAAUUUAAAAUGAGCUUCAG